UACGGAGGGUGCGAGCGUUAAUCGGAAUGACUGGGCGUAAAGCGCGCGUAGGCGGCUAAGUAAGUCGGGUGUGAAAGCCCUGGGCUUAACCCGGGAACUGCAUUCGAUACUGCUUGGCUAGAGUAUGGUAGAGGGAAGCGGAAUUCCGGGUGUAGCGGUGAAAUGCGUAGAGAUCCGGAGGAACACCAGUGGCGAAGGCGGCUUCCUGGACCAAUACUGACGCUGAGGUGCGAAAGCGUGGGGAGCAAACAGG
rnacentral:rRNA from 1 species